rnacentral:rRNA from 1 species
CCUACGGGAGGCAGCAGUGGGGAAUAUUGCACAAUGGGGGGAACCCUGAUGCAGCGACGCCGCGUGAGUGAAGAAGUAUUUCGGUAUGUAAAGCUCUAUCAGCAGGGAAGAAAAUGACGGUACCUGACUAAGAAGCCCCGGAUAACUACGUGCCAGCAGCCGCGGUAAUACGUAGGGGGCAAGCGUUAUCCGGAUUUACUGGGUGAAAAGGGAACGGAGACGGCAGAGCAAGUCUGACGUGAAAGCCCGCGGCCCAACUGGGGGACUGCUUUGGAAACUGCCCGGCUAGAGUGCUGGAGAGGUAAGUGGAAUGCCUGGUGUAGCGGUGAAAGGCGUAGAUAUUAGGAGGAACACCAGUGGCGAAGGCGGCUUACUGGACGGGAACUGACGUUGAGGUUCGAAAGCGUGGGGAGCAAACAGGAUUAGAUACCCCAGUAGUC